UUUAUGUGCCCACAGGGGGGGAUGAGAACCCCCGACCGGGGUUCGACAACUGGCAACGCCAGUUGGACAGACCGCGAGCCUGCGAGCGGGCUGCCCCGCAGGGGCGAGCGAAGCGAGUCAAUCCCCCCCUCACCGCCA
rnacentral:sRNA from 1 species